rnacentral:lncRNA from 1 species
UUGAGGACGAUAGUGAGACCACUGACUUCUGCUAGUUAAUCAUCGGGGCUCAGAUCAAUCUCCGAUUGUCGUGAGGGUUUUGGUGUCGGCGGAUCUGUUUUCCGAGAUAGCGGUUUCUAGUAACUUGUUUCUCGUCGGUCUGUAAUCCUAGCUCGCUUAUCUGCUUGUGGGGAUUUAGAUAUGUGAAGCAUCAGACCUAUGAAGCGAAGAACAUUUCUAUCAGUGAACGACGGUUAAUGUUAAAAGUCGUCUUCAACACGUUUUAUGGCCGCGGGGCUCCUCCAGUGUGUGGUCUCUGGUUGAUGGUGACGGUACGGCUUGGGAUUGGACAACCUGAGCUAGUGAAACCCGGAGAUCUGAUGACCACCGUGUUCAAGCGGAG